rnacentral:rRNA from 1 species
AGAACGAACGCUGGCGGCAGGCUUAACACAUGCAAGUCGAGCGCCCCGCAAGGGGAGCGGCAGACGGGUGAGUAACGCGUGGGAACAUACCCUCCGGUUCGGAAUAGCUCAGGGAAACUUGGAUUAAUACCGGAUACGGCCUAGCGGCGAAAGAUUCAUCGCCGGAGGAUUGGCCCGCGUUCGAUUAGCUAGUUGGUGAGGUAACGGCUCACCAGGGCGACGAUCGAUAGCUGGUCUGAGAGGAUGAUCAGCCACAUUGGGACUGAGACACGGCCCAAACUCCUACGGGAGGCAGCAGUGGGGAAUAUUGGACAAUGGGCGCAAGCCUGAUCCAGCCAUGCCGCGUGAGUGAUGACGGCCUUAGGGUUGUAAAGCUCUUUCGCUAGGGACGAUAAUGACGGUACCUAGACAAGAAGCCCGGCUAACUUCGUGCCAGCAGCCGC